ACGUAGGAGGCGAGCGUUAUCCGGGUUCACUGGGCGUAAAGCGCGUGUAGGCGGUUCGGUAAGUUGGGCGUGAAAUCUCCCGGCUAAACUGGGAGAGGUCGGAUGAGACUGCCGAGCUAGAGGGUCGUAGAGGGGUGUGGAAUUCCGGGUGUAGUGGUGAAAUGCGUAGAGAUCCGGAGGAACACCAGAGGCGAAGGCGGCACCCUGGACGACACCAGACGCUGAGACGCGACAGCACGGGGAGCGAACGG
rnacentral:rRNA from 1 species